rnacentral:lncRNA from 1 species
GCUACUAGCCAACACUCCUUCAAGCAAACAAUUCAGCAGCAACCUACCUCCAUUCAUUCUUUACUCACCUGUAUUUGUUAAAGUAGCAACCUUAUUUCAGUUCAUCUCAUACAAAUCAACAACAACAGCCAUCAACAACAAACAAUUACAGGUAUAUACUACUAUCUCAGUUUAUUUUCUCAAUUUAUUCAAGCCACAUACACUGUCAUAAUACCCAAGCAUAGAACAUGGAUAUCAACAUGAAUCUUGUUAACAUCAUUCACCUUAGCAACUAGAAGCUUAAACAGGAAACGAGUAUAUAUAUAUGCACACAGGGACUUAGCAAUCGAAAUCAGUUUAUGCUAUAUUUUCUUAUCACACGAGGCAAGACAGGAAAAAUUACUUGAUACAUUAGCAAAAUCACAGUGCCUAGUUUUAAUCUCUAGCAUAACCGAUAUGUAUAUAUAUAGAGAGAUCAAGAGUAUUACAUCUCACUGUUUCAGAAAAGAAAAUAGCAAUAACACUUAUGGGAUUCAUAGAGUAUUAGAUACCACAAGAAUUCCUUUUACACAAAAAUUGGGGAUCGAACUUAGCUUUUGGGGGAAAGGGAUUGUACCUGUUUCAAUAAACGAGGAGGAGGGCGACUGCCCCUUGGCGGUGGCGGUGGCAGCCUCUGGCUUGCUACCUGCCGGACGAAAACAAUGAGGGGAGCACGGAGACCUCGCCGAUUCUUCAGUGGCGGCGACGGCUGAUUUCUGAGGAAGAAGAGCAGGGGCUCGAGUACGGAGCAGCUUCCAACGACGUUACAGGGAGGCGGUAGUUCCCAAUAGAGGAGGCGGAGCGUCGAGCAACAGCCUUACCAAUUUUAGGGCAAAGGCAGCGCGACGCCAACGGCGACUCCCGCCGGUUCACAGAGCAGCGGCAGACGAAGUGCAGCAGGCCGCGACUCCGGCGAAACAGCAGCAGUCGGCACUGACCACCGGACGAACAGCAGCAACUCCAGCCGGCGGCGACUCCAGGCGAAGCAGCAGCCACUCCCAGACGACGACCGGCGCCGUUUGAGUCGCCGGAUUCAGACGAGGAUGUGACCGCGGCGCUGAUUCCAGAGAUAGGGCUCGACUGAGUUCUGCGAAGAGAGAGAUAGAGGACGUCGCCGGGGUUUGACGCAUCGGCAUCCGAAGCAGACCGGAGCCGACGGCCGCUGAACAGCCAAGGAAGAAGGCGGCGCUGCUGUUUUGGAGAAAAAGAGAGACGAGAUCGAGAGAGAGGACAGCGCCGGGACUUAGACGACGUCGGGGUAAGACUCGUCGCCGGUAGAAGCCAACCAAAGCAGACGGCAGCUGAGUGGUCGGAGAAGAAGGGCCGAUCGAGCGCCGAUUUUGAGGAAGGGAGCAAGCGGCUCCUUGAGAGAGAAAAGAGAGAGGCGUGCGUCUGUUUUGAAGAAAGAGAGGGACCGAAUGGAGGAGAUAAGGAAAUGAGUUGGGCUAAAAUUUUGGGCCAUUCAUUUAAUUACUUGGGCUUGAUUUAUUUAGUUAAUUUGGGUCAUCCAAUUAUUUUUGUAUUGGGCCAAUUCUAAUUUAUUCAGUUGGGCCUAAUUUUUAAUGGGCCUCUUUCAACUAAUUGAUUAUUGGGCUUGUUAUUAUAUCCAAUUGGGCCUUGUUUUAUUUUUAUGAUUGGGCCACCUUUAAUUGGUUUCGGAACAGGCUGAAUUUUCAUUAAACCAAGCCCAGUUAUUUUAUUCAGUUGGGCCUUAUUUAUUUAUUCAGAUGAGCCUUUAUUAUUUCAUUUCAAUUGGGCUGAAUUAUUAAUUACAGCCGGGCCUAGCAUACUUCAUUUAUUUGAGCCCAACUAUUAGAUUAUUUAUUCAUUUGGGCCAAGAUUUAUUUACUUACUUAAGCCAAGGAAUUAUUUUCAAUUGGGGCUUUCAUAUUAAUUAUUCAAGCCCAUUUCUGCUUAAUUAAUUAUUGUUUUGGACUUCAGACUUUAAAGCAAGCCUAUUAUUGUUUAUUUCUAUUUAAGCCACUGGUUUAUUUAAUUAAUUGGCUACUCUCUUUUGAGCCUAUUAAUUAUUUGAGGUUACGCUAGUAAUGAUGCUUCUAUCGAAAAGCCCGAUAAUUUCUACAAGGUCACACCUCGUUUAAAGCCGAGUUAGUCCUUUUUCAAUCAAGUACAAAUGCGAGGUUUAUUUCACGACUAGAAUAUUCCGAUGAGGAAGGAAGAAUCACAGUUUUAUUCGACCGCGCUAGACGAGAAUUAGCUAAAUCUAUUAACGAGGAUUAAUAGUAGAAUUCCCGAUUAUCGCUCAGAGUAUUAGUUCAUGCAUACCAGAUUCAUGCAUAGUUAAAUUACGCUUUCUCAUUAAUUAAGAAUUUUCCUCGAGGCAAUGUCUUAUUUUAUAUUCUCGUGAUUAAGGUCAAGCGCGAGAGUAAGAACUACACAAGGAGUUAGAGUACCUUAGCAAAACUUUGCUAUCAGGUGGGCAAUUCCUUACGCGUAAAUAAAAUGCUAUGCAAAUGUUAUGCUUUAAAAUGCAAAUUGGAUCUUCAAGUAUGGUAUGCUUUAUUACGCUUAAAUGAGUUAAGCUUUAUUAUGUUGCACGUUAAAUGAUUUACGCUAUGCUGUUUAUACUAUUUACGCCCUAUGUAAUUUACGCUUGAUUACACUUAUUUACGCUUGAAUGCUUUACGCUGAUAAGUUUAUGCUUAUGUUUGAUGCUUGCGUCUGUUGGGGGAGGCCUCCCUCAACAGUACGAUGCCGUGUCCGUUGAGGAGGGCCUUCCUCACGGCGCGAUGCCCGUGUCCGCUGAGAGAGGCCUCUCUCGCGGCACGAUGCCAAUAUGCCAGUAUGCCAGUGUUACAGCGUCUAUUGGGGGAGGCCUCCCUCAAUAGUACGAUGCCGUGACCGCUGAGGGAGGCCCCCUUCACGGUGCGAUGCCCGUGUUCGUUGGGGAAGGCCUUCUCCACGACACGAUGCGUGUUGAUGAUUGUUAAUGAUGAAGAAUGCGCUCAUGCUGUUUAUGAAUAUGGAAAUGUUUAAUGAGCAAAGGAUUUGAAAGAAACUUAUGCCUCUUAUGCGAAGUUGUGUUUUGUUGUUGAUAUUAUGUUAUAUGCUUGGCACUGCCCACUGAGUACUCUUGUACUCAGCCCUUCGUAUGUUUAUGUUUGUGCAGGUUGAGUUGUGAUGGGCGAUGAAGUGUUGCUGAGUGGAGUUUUUGUUGAACUUAAAGUAGGCUCAGAAAGGA